rnacentral:rRNA from 1 species
AAUGGGCGAAAGCCUGAUCCAGCAACGCCGCGUGAGGGAUGACGGCCUUCGGGUUGUAAACCUCUUUCAGUAGGGACGAAGCGCAAGUGACGGUACCUACAGAAGAAGCACCGGCCAACUACGUGCCAGCAGCCGCGGUAAUACGUAGGGUGCGAGCGUUGUCCGGAAUUAUUGGGCGUAAAGGGCUCGUAGGCGGUUUGUUACGUCGGGAGUGAAAACCCAGGGCUCAACCCUGGGCCUGCUUCUGAUACGGGCAGACUAGAGGUAUGCAGGGGAGAACGGAAUUCCUGGUGUAGCGGUGAAAUGCGCAGAUAUCAGGAGGAACACCGGUGGCGAAGGCGGUUCUCUGGGCAUUACCUGACGCUGAGGAGCGAAAGUGUGGGGAGCGAA